GUUUUAAAUUGAAUUCUGGAAUGAAGGGUUGAAUGAAAUAUAAACUUUAUUAAUUAUUUUUAUUGAAUUUUUUUUUUUAGUUAAAAAUCUGAAAUAAAAUUAAGGGACGAGAAGACCCUAUAGAGUUUAAUAUUUAAUAAAUUAAUUUUAUUUAUAAAAUUUAAUAUUUAAUUUAUAUAAUUAUUUUGUUGGGGUGAUAUUAAAAUUAAUUUAACUUUUAAUAAAAUUUUUAUAAUUUUAAUUAUAUUUUUGAUCCAUUAUUUUGAUUAAAAUUUUAAAUUACCUUAGGGAUAACAGCAUAAUUUUAUUAUUGAGUUCUAAUUAAUAAUAAAGAUUAU
rnacentral:rRNA from 1 species